AUUUUAUAUAUACAUAUAAUGCAAUACAAUGAAAUACAAUGCAAUAUAAUGAAAUUGUACAAUACAAUGUACAAUAUAAUGAAAUUAUACGAUACAAUAUGAAAUAUAAUGAAAUUAGUAGUAGAAUAUUAUGAAAUACGAGGAAAGACAUAACGCAAUAAUGCAUUUUGUAUUUAUGUACAAUAUAAUGAAAUUAUACAACACAAUAUACAAUGUAAUGAAAUUAUACAAUACAAUAUACAAUAUAAUGAAAUUAUACGAUACAAUAUACAAUAUAAUGAAAUUAUACGUAGAAUAUUAUGAAAUACAGGGAAAGACAUAACGCAAUAGCGCAUUUUGUAUUUAUGUUUUCUUUGUCUUGCGUAUGAUAAAUUCUAUCAAAUUAUAGUUGAAAUAUCUUUUAAACUAACCAGCUAUCGACCAUGAUUACCCUGAGAAUUUCUUUCGUAGAACAAUCAGAUAGUUCAAUGUAUGUAAAAAAAGAAGAAAAUUUCCAUUUGAAAAAUUUGCUUAUUUCCUGCAAUUUGCUUUUAUUCGAACUAGUAGCGUGACAUGAUCUAUCCUGUAUAUCGAUAAGUCUGACGGCUCUUUAACAUGCCAAAAUGAAGUGUUGGAGAGAAAAUGAUGGAAAACUUUUGCACCACACUGUAUAUUCUGCACGCAUGAACCGGUGAAGGCAACGAGGGGAAAUUAAUAAACUUUGUUAAUCGCUGAAUAAACCAGUUUGUCGAUCCGUUCA